CUUUUCUAUUAGUACAGUACUUUAUUUCCUCUCUAGUUUCUACCUCACAACCUACACUAACAGGCCUAGCCGCUCUACUGCGCUUCUGCAUUCCUGACCUCUCGCUACCCCGCUAGGCUGACCCAUUCAACCGCUGGACAGGUACAGAACAGGGGCGUAACUUAAGGGUGACACUCAUGCUCCACGACAUAUACACACACACACCAAGAUCCUUUCACAACAGACA